UACGGAGGGUGCAAGCGUUAUCCGGAUUUACUGGGUUUAAAGGGUGUGUAGGCGGGCUUUUAAGUCAGUGGUGAAAUCUCCGGGCUCAACCUGGAAACUGCCAUUGAUACUAUUAGUCUUGAAUUUUGUUGAGGUAGGCGGAAUAAGUCAUGUAGCGGUGAAAUGCAUAGAUAUGACUUAGAACACCAAUUGCGAAGGCAGCUAACUACGGGAUGAUUGACACUGAUGCACGAAAGCGUGGGGAUCAAACAGG
rnacentral:rRNA from 1 species